rnacentral:rRNA from 1 species
AGAGUUUGAUCAUGGCUCAGGAUGAACGCUAGCGGCAGGCCUAAUACAUGCAAGUCGAACGGGUCUAGGUAGCAAUACCUAGAUUAGUGGCGCACGGGUGCGUAACGCGUAUGCAACCUACCUUUUAUUGGGGGAUAGCCCGAAGAAAUUCGGAUUAAUACCGCAUAACACUGUUUGAGGGCAUCUGAAGACAGUUAAAGCUACGGCGAUAAAAGAUGGGCAUGCGUGUCAUUAGCUAGUUGGUAGAGGUAACGGCUCACCAAGGCAACGAUGACUAGGGGUUCUGAGAGGAUGAUCCCCCACACUGGUACUGAGAUACGGACCAGACUCCUACGGGAGGCAGCAGUAGGGAAUAUUGGGCAAUGGAGGCAACUCUGACCCAGCCAUGCCGCGUGAAGGAUGAAGGCCUUCUGGGUUGUAAACUUCUUUUAUCUAGGAAGAAAAUGUCCUUGCGAGGAAAACUGACGGUACUAGAUGAAUAAGCACCGGCUAACUCCGUGCCAGCAGCCGCGGUAAUACGGAGGGUGCAAGCGUUGUCCGGAUUUAUUGGGUUUAAAGGGUGCGUAGGCGGCUUAGUAAGUCCGUGGUGAAAGCCAACAGCUCAACUGUUGAACUGCCAUGGAUACUGCUAGGCUUGAGUACAGACGAGGUAGGCGGAAUGGAUAGUGUAGCGGUGAAAUGCAUAGAUACUAUCCAGAACACCGAUUGCGAAGGCAGCUUACUAGACUGUAACUGACGCUGAGGCACGAAAGCGUGGGGAGCGAACAGGAUUAGAUACCCUAGUAGUCC